GAUGAACGCUGGCGGCGUGCUUAACACAUGCCAGUCGAACGGAAAGGCCCAAGCUUGCUUGGGUACUCGAGUGGCGAACGGGUGAGUAACACGUGGGUGAUCUGCCCUGCACUUCGGGAUAAGCCUGGGAAACUGGGUCUAAUACCGGAUAGGACGAUGGUUUGGAUGCCAUUGUGGAAAGUUUUUUCGGUGUGGGAUGAGCUCGCGGCCUAUCAGCUUGUUGGUGGGGUAAUGGCCUACCAAGGCGUCGACGGGUAGCCGGCCUGAGAGGGUGUACGGCCACAUUGGGACUGAGAGACGGCCCAGACUCCUACGGGAGGCAGCAGUGGGGAAUAUUGCACAAUGGGCGCAAGCCUGAGGCAGCGACGCCGCGUGGGGGAUGACGGCCUUCGGGUUGGAAACUCCUUUCGCUAGGGACGAAGCGUUUUUGUGACGGUACCUGGAGAAGAAGCACCGGCUAACUACGUG
rnacentral:rRNA from 1 species